AGACGGCCAUCAGCCAAUCAGAGAGCACAUUACAACCUACUGUCAGACUAUAAAUGGGCCCAGUAGCGUCUUUUUCAGUUGCGGUUUACCCGCCAUCUGUAGAGAGAUGUCUGGGUGUGGGAAGCAGAGGGGCAAGGCUCACGCUAAGUCGAGGUCUCGCUCUUCCAGAGCAGGCUUGCAAUUUGUGGUGGGCUAAGUUCAUCGACUGCUCUGUAAGGGACACUAUGCUGAGUGUGUUGGAGCUGGUGCACCCACUUGUUUAGCAGCCGUGUUAGACUGACAGCUGAGGUCUUAGAGUUAGCGGGUAACGCCUCUCACAACAGGAAGUAGAUACGGAUUAUCCCGCGUCGUUUGCAGCUGGCUAUUCGCAACGAUGAGGAGCUGAGCAAACUGUUGGGUGGUGUGAUCAUCGCCCAAGGAGGUGUCCUGCCGAAGAAGCCUGAGAGCUAGCAUCAGAAAGUACAGAGCAGGUAGACUCUCUAGGAAGCUACACUGGGCAACCUGAACGUCUGGGGAGUGAAGAAACAAAGGCUCUUUUCAGAGCCGCUCAUAUUGUCAAUGAAGACUGUGCAUAGGCUGCAGAGCGGCAGUAAUUGUGCCAUUUGUGGCAACAGACUGCUUAAGGUAUAGUGCGUUUCAACGGAUCCAUCUUGUACAAGGCCAACAGGAUCCCAACGCAGACUGAGUAGUUCCGCUUCACCCAGAGGUGUGAAGUAAUUCACCCAUCCCAA
rnacentral:lncRNA from 1 species